UAGCAGACGCUCUUAUGCAGUAGUGAGUCAUUUAGCAGACGCUCUGAUCCAGUAGUGAGUCAUUUAGCAGACGCUCUGAUGCCGAGGUGAGUCAUUUAGCAGACGCUCUGAUGCCGAGGUGAGUCAUUUAGCAGACGCUCUGAUCCAGUAGUGAGUCAUUUAGCAGACGCUCUGAUGCGGAGGUGAGUCAUUUAGCAGACGCUCUGAUGCAGAGGUGAGUCAUUUAGCAGACACUCUGAUGCGGAGGUGAGUCAUUUAGCAGACACUCUGAUGCAGAGGUGAGUCAUUUAGCAGACGCUCUGAUGCGGAGGUGAGUCAUUUAGCAGACGCUCUGAUGCAGAGGUGAGUCAUUUAGCAGACGCUCUGAUGCAGAGGUGAAUCAUUUAGCAGACGCUCUGAUGCGGAGGUGAGUCAUUUAGCAGACGCUCUGAUGCGGAGGUGAGUCAUUUAGCAGACGCUCUGAUGCGGAGGUGAGUCAUUUAGCAGACGCUCUGAUGCAGAGGUGAAUCAUUUAGCAGACGCUCUGAUGCGGAGGUGAGUCAUUUAGCAGACGCUCUGAUGCGGAGGUGAGUCAUUUAGCAGACGCUCUGAUGCGGAGGUGAGUCAUUUAGCAGACGCUCUGAUCCAGUAGUGAAUCAUUUAGCAGACGCUCUGAUGCGGAGGUGAGUCAUUUAGCAGACGCUCUGAUGCCGAGGUGAGUCAUUUAGCAGACGCUCUGAUGCAGAGGUGAAUCAUUUAGCAGACGCUCUGAUGCGGAGGUGAGUCAUUUAGCAGACGCUCUGAUGCGGAGGUGAGUCAUUUAGCAGACGCUCUGAUGCGGAGGUGAGUCAUUUAGCAGACGCUCUGAUGCAGAGGUGAAUCAUUUAGCAGACGCUCUGAUGCGGAGGUGAGUCAUUUAGCAGACGCUCUGAUGCGGAGGUGAGUCAUUUAGCAGACGCUCUGAUCCAGUAGUGAAUCAUUUAGCAGACGCUCUGAUGCGGAGGUGAGUCAUUUAGCAGACGCUCUGAUGCAGUAGUGAGUCAUUUAGCAGACGCUCUGAUGCAGUAGUGAGUCAUUUAGCAGACGCUCUGAUCCAGUAGUGAGUCAUUUAGCAGACGCUCUGAUGCAGUAGUGAGUCAUUUAGCAGACGCUCUGAUCCAGUAGUGAGUCAUUUAGCAGACGCUCUGAUCCAGUAGUGAGUCAUUUAGCAGACUCUCUGAUCCAGUAGUGAGUCAUUUAGCAGACGCUCUGAUGCAGAGGUGAGUCAUUUAGCAGACGCUCUGAUCCAGUAGUGAGUCAUUUAGCAGACACUCUGAUCCAAUAGUGAGUCAUUUACCAGACGCUCUGAUGCAGUAGUGAGUCAUUUAGCAGACGCUCUGAUCCAGUAGUGAGUCAUUUAGCAGACGCUCUGAUCCAGUAGUGAGUCAUUUAGCAGACGCUCUGAUGCAGUAGUGAGUCAUUUAGCAGACGCUCUGAUGCAGUAGUGAGUCAUUUAGCAGACGCUCUGAUCCAGUAGUGAGUCAUUUAGCAGACGCUCUGAUGCAGUAGUGAGUCAUUUAGCAGACGCUCUGAUCCAGUAGUGAGUCAUUUAGCAGACGGUCUGAUCCAGUAGUGAGUCAUUUAGCAGACGCUCUGAUCCAGUAGUGAGUCAUUUAGCAGACGGUCUGAUCCAGUAGUG